rnacentral:rRNA from 1 species
UACGGGGGGGGCAAGCGUUGUUCGGAAUUAUUGGGCGUAAAGAGCGUGUAGGCGGUCCGGUAAGUCCGCUGUGAAAGUCGGGGGCUCAACCCUCGAAUGCCGGUGGAUACUGUCGGGCUAGAGUGCGGAAGAGGCGAGUGGAAUUCCUGGUGUAGCGGUGAAAUGCGCAGAUAUCAGGAGGAACACCUAUUGCGAAGGCAGCUCGCUGGGACGUCACUGACGCUGAGACGCGAAAGCGUGGGGAGCAAACAGG